rnacentral:lncRNA from 1 species
AAUGCCACUACAAUCUAACAAUUUCAUUUCAAAAGCAUUCAAAAUCUUUUUACUAACAAUGCCACUACAAUCCAACAAUUACAUAGGCAUUAUGUCAUAACACUUAGCUAUAAUGUACCAAAUUUCUCAAUGAUAUCCAAAAAUACAAUAAAAUUAUUUACGCAUGUGCUAUGCUCAACAGGUCCAUCAAUGAUCCCUUUUUAAGUAUUAUCCUGGAACUACCUACAAAAUAUACGAAUUGUAGUCUCUCAAUAGAAAUAAUUGUUAUUCAUGUAAGUAAUAGCAAGAAGAAAAAAAGCAACUAGUAAUAUGCCAUGCACACACCUACUACCAGAACAAAUUUCAUAUACUAGUUGUUUAAGCACAUAUUAACAAGAAACAUAAAUUGCAUAUGAAGACCUUAUUAUCGAGCACAGAUGAGCUAUGAUGUGGCCUGCUUCCAUGUAGGUAAUAUGUUCAAAGUCCAUAUCUGAUGCACUACUGUUUCUAUAGAAGAAGAAAAAACAUUAAGUAAGAAAUAUAUCUCAAGUCAAAAGACUUACCUCCUAAGACCUAAUUCUGCCAGUUAAGACUGUCGAGUAUUUUUUUAUGAAGGACUUUUGAAGUGGUACCCUACCAAGUUAUCCAACCAACCCCUAAAACAAAACUUUGUACAAAAAACUUUUCUUCAGAAACUUGCAGAUAUAAAGUACAACCUACAUUGAAAUUAAAGCACAUAGUACAUAAUGCGAAUAGCUGAAAACAUAUUAUUGGUCUUUACCUCCAGAGCACUGAUAACCACUUUAAUAAUUAACUGUUUUGGUCCAUCAAGCUUUACUCCAAAGUACUUAUCCAAUACAUUCCUAAAGGCCUACCAGAGAAGCAAACAAGACCAAUUCAUACAACAAUGCAUGCCUAAAUUACAAAAAGAUUGACUACUAGCUAAUUUCCUGCCACUUAUAAGACUAAGCGAGUUAAAGCAAAUGAUAAUAAGCCAACAAACAGUUAAGGUCCUAGAGUAUACAAGAAUCACCCUAUAGUAGAAACAUUGUAAUAAAAAACUCUAAUAGAAUAAGUUCCCCGUGUUACUAGCCGGAGAUGUAGCUAAUUUGGUUACUUUCCCGUGUUUUCUAACUGGUCUUGUAACACAGUACACAACGCAUUUCGAUCCUCUCGACAGUAGAGAUAUCUAAGGGUAUGAAUGACCAUAUAAAUUCUUCAUAUAUAUAAUCACAAGGUUAAUAUCAGAAACCGCAUAAACUGUUUAGAUUACUAGUGAAUAUUGAUCUACAGAAAAUAUAUAAAUGAUGAUAGCUUCCUUACCCGACUUUCAAUAUGUGUAGUUUCAAUCUGGAGGGCUUGCUUUCCUUACUCGUACCUGAAGGUUUAGUCCGCUUAGAAUAACUUAAUCAUCUGUAGUUCAGAUGUUUAAAAAAACAAAUGAUAAAACUCACCACACUACAGCAAAGGCUCGAAUGCUGAAGAAGUCGUGAAGCAAGAACAAUGACUUCUGGAGGCAUCCCUGGAAGAACUGGAUAUGAGAUAAAAUGUAAAAUGCAUUUAAUGCCAACAUAUCAUGUUAUUAUCAUAAAAGUUAUUCAAGCCUCAAGACUAUAAGUACUAUGAAAUGGUUGGAGUUGGACAGUUUCAUGUCAAAGGAAUAUUUUACUUAGCAUUUUCAAGGUAAGAUAAGUCAAACGUGAUGAGAACACAGUAUCAAACUUUUUUAUAUGCAUUAAGAACAAUGAUUUAUUAGAACUUAUAAAAUGAAAAGAAUACCUUGUGCCAAGGGUGUACUUUUAUCUGUUGGAAUUAUACUCUGUGUAAUUUGGAUUCAAAACAAGCAACGGAUUUCUUCCCUAGUUGGGGUACCAAGAAC